rnacentral:rRNA from 1 species
GACGAACGCUGGCGGCGUGCUUAACACAUGCAAGUCGAACGGAAAGGCCCUGCUUUUGUGGGGUGCUCGAGUGGCGAACGGGUGAGUAACACGUGAGUAACCUGCCCUUGACUUUGGGAUAACUUCAGGAAACUGGGGCUAAUACCGGAUAGGAGCUCCUGCUGCAUGGUGGGGGUUGGAAAGUUUCGGCGGUUGGGGAUGGACUCGCGGCUUAUCAGCUUGUUGGUGGGGUAGUGGCUUACCAAGGCUUUGACGGGUAGCCGGCCUGAGAGGGUGACCGGACACAUUGGGACGGAGAUACGGCCCAGACCCGUACGGGAGGCAGCAGUGGGGAAGAUGGCACAAUGGGCGGAAGCAUGAUGCAGCAACGCCGCGUGCGGGAGGACGGCCUUCGGGUUGUAUACCGCUUUCGCCUGUGACGAAGCGUGAGUGACGGUAACUGGUAAAGAAGCACCGGCUAACUACGUG